UCGAUGGUAGGAUAGUGGCCUACCAUGGUGGCAACGGGUAACGGGGAAUUAGGGUUCGAUUCCGGAGAGGGAGCCUGAGAAACGGCUACCACAUCCAAGGAAGGCAGCAGGCGCGCAAAUUACCCAAUCCCGAUACGGGGAGGUAGUGACAAUAAAUACUGAUACAGGGCUCUUUUGGGUCUUGUAAUUGGAAUGAGUACAAUUUAAACCCCUUAACGAGGAUCAAUUGGAGGGCAAGUCUGGUGCCAGCAGCCGCGGUAAUUCCAGCUCCAAUAGCGUAUAUUAAAGUUGUUGCAGUUAAAAAGCUCGUAGUU
rnacentral:rRNA from 1 species